rnacentral:rRNA from 1 species
CACGAACGCUGGCGGCAGGCUUAACACAUGCAAGUCGAGCGCCCCGCAAGGGGAGCGGCAGACGGGUGAGUAACGCGUGGGAAUCUACCCAUCUCUACGGAAUAACGCAUGGAAACGUGUGCUAAUACCGUAUACGUCCUUCGGGAGAAAGAUUUAUGCGGAGAUGGAUGAGCCCGCGUUGGAUUAGCUAGUUGGUGGGGUAAAGGCCUACCAAGGGGACGAUCCAUAGCUGGUCUGAGAGGAUGAUCAGCCACACUAGGACUGAGACACGGCCCAGACUCCUACGGGAGGCAGCAGUGGGGAAUAUUGGACAAUGGGCGCAAGCCUGAUCCAGCCAUGCCGCGUGAGUGAUGAAGGCCCUAGGGUUGUAAAGCUCUUUCACCGGUGAAGAUAAUGACGGUAACCGGAGAAGAAGCCCCGGCUAACUUCGUGCCAGCCGCCGCCGUAACAC